rnacentral:rRNA from 1 species
UACGUAGGGUGCAAGCGUUGUCCGGAAUUAUUGGGCGUAAAGAGCUCGUAGGCGGUUCGUCGCGUCGGCUGUGAAAACCUGAGGCUCAACCUCAGGCCUGCAGUCGAUACGGGCGGACUUGAGUACUGCAGGGGAGACUGGAAUUCCUGGUGUAGCGGUGAAAUGCGCAGAUAUCAGGAGGAACACCGGUGGCGAAGGCGGGUCUCUGGGCCGGUACCGACGCUGAGGAGCGAAAGCGUGGGGAGCGAACGGG